rnacentral:rRNA from 1 species
CUUUGUAUCCAGAAUAUCCUGCCAGUUUUGCCAAGCUAAGCAGGGUCAGGCAAGAUUAGUGCUUAGAUGGAAGACACUGGGUGAAAGCACAUGUGACACCAGGA